rnacentral:rRNA from 1 species
GACGAACGCUGGCGGCGUGCUUAACACAUGCAAGUCGAACGGAAAGGCCCUGCUUUUGUGGGGUGCUCGAGUGCCGAACGGGUGAGUAACACGUGAGUAACCUGCCCUUGUCUUUGUGAUAACUUCAGGAAACUGGGGCUAUUACCGGAUAGGAGCUCCUGCUGCAUGGUGGGGGAUGGAAAGUUUCGGCGGUUGUGGAUGGACUCGCGGCGUAUGAGCUAGUUGGUGAGGUAGUGGCUUACCAAGGCUGCGAUGGGUAGCCGGCCUGAGAGGGUGACCGGCCACACUGGAGCUGAGGCAGGGUCCAGAGGGCUACGGGAGGCAGCAGUAGGGAAUCUUCCGCAACGGGCGAAAGCGUGACGGAGCAACGCCGCGUGAGUGAUGAAGGUCGUCGGAUCGGAAAACUGUGUUAUUAGGGAAGAACAAAUGUGUAAGUAACUAUGCACGUCUUGACGGUACCUAAUGAGAAAGCCACGGCUAACUACGUG